UUUCUUUAAAUUCAACUUUAACGAGCCAUUAUAGAAGAAGAAGCUAGAUCAAAGCAUGAACCAGAAGAAAAAUGUCAGCCUCAAAAUUUGGCUUGUAGAUUUCAGAAAAGCAAAAGGAAAAAAGUUCAUUGGAAAAAAAAAAGAAAAAAAGCUCCUAUUGCACAGGUAAAAAGUGAAAAUCCAGUGCUACCAGUCGUUCUAAGAUGCGGGGAAAUAAAUAAAGGAGCUCAGUCACGUCAUGUCCUCCCUGACCAGAAAUUUACAAGCAGUCAAAUUUGCCUGCACUUCGUAAAACUACUCAGGAUAUGGGCACUUGCAUGAGUAGGUA
rnacentral:lncRNA from 1 species